ACGGGGCCCGCACAAGCGGUGGAGCAUGUGGCUUAAUUCGAGGCAACGCGAAGAACCUUACCUGGGUUUGACAUCAGCCGGACGGGGUGUGAAAGCACUCUUUCCGCAAGGACUGGCUGACAGGUGCUGCAUGGCUGUCGUCAGCUCGUGUCGUGAGAUGUUCGGUUAAGUCCGGCAACGAGCGCAACCCGCAUUGUCAGUUGCCACCAGGUCAUGCUGGGCACUCUGGCGAAACUGCCCGUGUUAAGCGGGAGGAAGGUGCGGAUGACGUCAAGUCAGUAUGGCCCUUACGCCCAGGGCUGCACACGUGCUACAAUGGCCGGUACAAUGGGAAGCAAGACCGCAAGGUGGAGCGAAUCCUAAAAACCGGCCCCAGUUCAGAUUGCAGUCUGCAACCCGACUGCAUGAAGCCGGAAUCGCUAGUAAAGGCGUAUCAGCUACGACGCCUUGAAUACGUUCCCGGGCCUU
rnacentral:rRNA from 1 species